rnacentral:sRNA from 1 species
CACCGGAGAACUUCUCCAGAGCGCGACGGCAUGGUUCCUUCUACACGCUGGCAGAACUGCCAUUGCCAUCGCCCCGAAGCGGCAGAAUGGUACGCUCUGAAAACUGGAUGGUUCUACCGUAAGCAAGAAAGACGCAUUUAAAUCAAACGGUAUUGAGAUGGAUUGGGUUAUGAAACAUAAUGGUCCAAAUGACGCUAGUGAUGGGACAGUACGACUUCGUGGACUACCAUUUGGUUGCAGCAAAGAGGAAAUAGUUCAGUUCUUUCAAGGUAUAUUGAGAUCUUCAGAAGUAGCAGGAGUGAAAUCAAAGGAUUUUAUGAUCCACCAAGAAGAUUGCUGGGACAGCGACCGGGACCAUAUGAUAGACCAAUAGGAGGAAGAGGGGGUUAUUAUGGAGCUGGGCGUGGAAGUAUGUAUGACAGAAUGCGACGAGGAGGUGAUGGAUAUGAUGGUGGUUAUGGAGGUUUUGAUGACUAUGGUGGCUAUAAUAAUUACGGCUAUGGGAAUGAUGGCUUUGAUGACAGAAUGAGAGAUGGAAGAGGUAUGGGAGGCCAUGGCUAUGGUGGAGCUGGUGAUGCAAGUUCAGGUUUUCAUGGUGGUCAUUUUGUACAUAUGAGAGGGUUGCCUUUUCGUGCGACUGAAAAUGAC